ACCUGGUUGAUCCUGCCAUUAGUCAUAUGCUUGUCUCAAAGAUUAAGCCAUGCAUGUGUAAGUAUGAACAAAUUCAGACUGUGAAACUGCGAAUGGCUCAUUAAAUCAGUUAUAGUUUGUUUGAUGGUAUCUACCACUCGGAUAACCGUAGUAUUUCUAGAGCUAAUACGUGCAACAAACCUCGACUUCUGGAAGGGAUGCAUGUAUUAGAUAAAAGGUCGACGCGAGCUCUGCCCGUUGCUGCGAUGAUUCAUGAUAACUCGACAGAUCGCACGGCCAUUGUGCCGGCGACGCAUCAUUCAAAUUUCUGCCCUUAUCAACUUUCGAUGGUGGUAUUUUCCGAGGACGUUUUCAUUAAUCAAGAACAAAAUUUGGGGUCUCAAAGACGAUCAGAUACCGUCCUAGUAUCAACCAUAAACGAUGCCGCCCAGGGAUUGGCGGAUGUUGCUUUUAGGACUCCGCCGGCACCUUAUGAGAAAUCAAAGUUUUUGGGUUCCGGGGUGAGUAUGGUCACAAGGCUGAAACUUAAAGGAAUUGACGGAAGGUCACCACCAGGAGUGGAGCCUGCGGCUUAAUUUGACUCAACACGGGGAAACUUACCAGGUCCAGACAUAGUAAGGAUUGACAGACUGAGAGCUCUUUCUUGAUUCUAUGGGUGGUGGUGCAUGGCCGUUCUUAGUUGGUGGAGCGAUUUGUCUGGUUAAUUCCAUUAACGAACAAGACCUCAGCCUGCUAACUAGCUAUGCAGAGGUAUCCCUUCGCGGCCAGCUUCUUAGAGGGACUACGGCCUUUUAGGCCACAGAAGUUUUAGGCAAUAACAGGUUUGUGAUGCCCUUAGAUGUUCUGGGCCGCAUGCGCGCUACACUGAUGUAUUCAAUGAGUUUAUAGCUUUGGACGAAAGGCCCGGGUAAUCUUUGAAAUUUCAUCCUGAUGGGGAUAGAUCAUUGCAAUUGUUGGUCUUCAACGAGGAAUUCCUAGUAAGCGCGAGUCAUCAGCUCGCGUUGACUAUGUCCCUGACCUUUGUACACACCGCCCGUCGCUCCUACCGAUUAAAUGAUCCGGUGAAAUGUUUAGAUCGCGGCAACGUGGGCGGUUCGCUGCCCGCGACGUCACGAGAAUUCCAUUGAACCUUAUCAUUUAGAGGAAGGAAAAGUCGUAACAAGGUUUUCGUAGGUGAACCUGCGGAAG
rnacentral:rRNA from 1 species